AGCUGUUUUACUCAAUAAAAUCACUGACUUGCCUCAAGAGCAUUUCAGUCCUCUCGACCCCAUUCUUUACUAGCCGCUUUUUUCUCAGGCUUCCGUGAUGUUGCGAUCGUGACUUGUUCUCUUUGCCGGCUGGUCCCGACAGGUGGCGCCUCAAUCAGGGACUCGAUCGGACUACACGGUCGCAGCCGCCCGAAACAUGAGUUCAGAGGGGAUCCCAAAAGAAACGAUGCCGAAGCACCGUGCUGGCUCCCGGAGAGGCUGGUACGCCAGACGGAGACGGUCGCUGACUGCUGGAAUGGAGAGGCUGCAGAUACAAGAGAGGAAUGUUCUGCAAACAAAUCAACAACUACAUGAGUUCAUGGAAGGAGCAAGACACAUUGCUGCGGAUACAAUCAAUCCACACACUUCCCUAUCCUACCUAGUGCUUGCAUUAGCAUGCGCUGUUAUGAAUCAAGCCUUUCCUAGCGCUGAAGGAAAUGUUUUUCUCUCUUGGGCUCAUUCCUAUGCUGAUUUUUAUAAUACCUCUGCUUAUUGGGUAUGCACUGCCAUGCCUUUGUCAGUUGUAAAUGGUUUACCAUGGUGGGUUUUGCCGAUGAGUCAGGAAGAAUUACCUGCGCUAUAAUAAAAGUAGAAUGUUGUGUGUAUAUACCAGAUUUAUCUUCCAAUGUGUCUGAUGCUGUAAAUGAUCUUCAACAUCAAAUACUUUCUAUGCAAGAUUCCUCCCUUUCUUUUUGGGAGCAAGUUAAAUCCUGUUUUGGGAGUGAUUGGUGGAAAACCCUGCUUAUAGUGCUUGUUAUUGUACUCUGUUUUCUUUGUUGUGGACCAUGUUUUUUACAAUGUAUUAUGAAUUUAGUUACUGAAAGAAUUAUGAAGUUUUCCCGUAUUAUGAAAAAAUAAUCUUGUUUCCCUUUUUCUCGAGAAAUGAGUAGAGAAGCUCGGCUUUUUAAUAAAUAAAAAGGGGGAGAUGCGGGGCCUGCUCAAGGCCCAAAAAUGCCCUGGGAAAGCCUUGAAAGAGGUCAUUCCCUGUCCCACCACCCCAUGAUAAAGUAGUAAAACAUUUGCCGGGUCUCCUUUGUUCUUCCUUGAGAAAAACAUAGUAGUGACCUUCACUUAGUAGUUUAUCUUGGAAUGUCAAAAACAAGAUGUAAGCUUCUGCAAUCACUUAAGACAAAGAAUUGUAUUGAUGUGACAAAAACCAGAUGGCAUUUUUUAUGAACUAUGUUUUCUGCUUGUACUAGUAUAAAGGUAGCUGUUUUACUCAAUAAAAUCACUGACUUGCCUCAAGAGCA